AAAAACUUAGGUCCUCUUCGUUUCCCUGUUGCUGGAUCCAGCGACCAGCGACCAGCGACAGUAACCAACGACAACAUACAUUGUUCGUUUGUUUGUCGCUGGACUCAGCGACCAAUUACAGCGACAAUCGCUAAUAAUUGUCGCUGUGUUGUUCGUUUGACUGUUUCUAUAAACAGUCGUUAUAUUUUUUUUUUAAAUUAAUUAUUUUUGGUGCUAAUUUAUAUUUUAAAAUC
rnacentral:sRNA from 1 species